rfam:Candidatus Ryanbacteria bacterium RIFCSPLOWO2_02_FTLL_45_11c rifcsplowo2_02_scaffold_23125, whole genome shotgun sequence.
GGCACGGUGGCGAAGAGGUAACGCGGUCGUCUGCAAAACGACUAUGCGAGGGUUCGAAUCCCUCCCGUGCCU